rfam:Myotis davidii contig107603, whole genome shotgun sequence.
CGGGGAGUGGGGGGGUCCCUCAGCCUGGAUUGUGAGAGGGUGCAGGCCAGGCCAAGGGACCCCCCAGUGCACA